GGAGGAUGGCAUCAUGCUGGGAUUUGCCGGGCAGAGAUGGGUGAGCACUGGGAAAGAAGAGGGUCUCGGGGCACAGGCUGUCUCCAUCCCCUGUGCUUCCUGGUCACAUGGUUCACUCCGGUGGUUGCUCUCACUUGCAAGUGGUUAAUUUCAAGAGCGUCAUGAAUGCAAACUUUGAGAAGGAAGGGAACUGGGGUUUCCAUUGCAUAGGGUGCAACUGGAUAUUUCCUCCAUGUUUCAUCGCUGGGACCUGGCAAACGGCAUUUCCUGGCACUCGGGAGCAGCGAGUCCCGACAGCAGCGAGGUCGAAUCCAUUUUUGGAGCCAAACGCCAGCAUUCUUUUGCAGUGAGUUCUGCAACCUCAAGGUAGCGCUUCCCUAGAGUGACCUCUAGUGAUGACCACAGGAGUUGCCCGAUUUUCCAGCCUAUGGAAGAAUCCCCCUAAAAAUAUUGGACUCCCUGCGACAACAGAAGCCUCUUCCUUCUUUCCCUCACUAAUUGCCCCGUGGAGGUGAUGACAAGUAGGGCUGGCAACAUGAGCAAGUUGAAGUCAAUUCCACUUGCUAAUCAAAACCGUGAAGUAUGCUUUCAUGUGAAACACAAAAGCCCUGAAUGUUUGAAUGUUCCCAACCUUCCGACCGUAGCAGUGAUCACCCCGCAUUGGAAUGAGACACUUGUCCACCUGCCAGGGGUGCAGCCUGCCUGGUCACAGGGUGGCAGUGAGCGUUUUCUCUCCAGAGAGGCCUUAAGACUUUAUAGGAAAAAUAAUGGUGAUAAUCUACAAACUGUUUUGAGAUCGUUGGAUGGUUGGUCGUAUAGGUGUGUCUACUCAGGAGCCAACAGCUAAAAGAUAUGGCCUGAUGCGUUUUUGUUUUAAUCCAUUAUUUAUUUUUUUUUGAAAAUUUAUUUAUUUUAUUUAUUUUUGGCUGCGUUGGGUCUUCGUUGCUGAUGCAUUUUUAAUAACUAUGGGAAAUGGAUCCAUGUGGGAUAGUUCAAAUGAACAUGGGGAAAACUGAGAUGUGUGUCUAAAAGGUUAUGACUCAAACAUUUUGCAACACUUUUACGAUGCAUUAUCUUAUUUUGCUUAUUUGCUAUUUUCACAACAACUCUGUUUGGAGAUGUAUUAUUUUCCCCGUUUUUUCCCUGGUAAGGAAAUUAAGUCACAAACAGGUGAUACCACAUAACAGAGAUUACAGUGACAGAAAGGCUAGCACUGGAACUGCCUCUCUCGCCUUAAAUCCUGUGUAUUUAUACGCUGUGUCUCCUGGGUCAGUCCUCCCAACCUCAAGCUGGAAACUGGGGUGUCAUCCUUCAUUCCUCGCUCUCACUCACCUCUCACUUUCAACCCAUCAGCAAGAUGCAACCACGUGUCUCCACAAUCCGUUGCUGCAACCUGAGGUUUCUCCCUGCAGUGAAGGUCUCAGCUCUGUGUGAGGCUUGCAGGAUCUUAGGGACCAGGGAUUGAGCCUGGGCCACGGAAGCGAAAGUGCUGAGUUAGCCACUGGACCAUCAGGGAACUCCCCGCUAGCAGAUUCUAACGUAAGAGCUUUUGGAACUGAAAAAUAAAGAGUUACUCCUACAAGCCUCAUCUUCUGCCACUCCCCGGUUACGAAUCGAACUACUUAGCAUUGCACGGAACACGACUCUCACACCUUGGUUCCUUUGUACGUGCGUGACGUUCCCUUCACCUGGAAUGCUCUUACCCCUGCUUCUCUGGCGAACUCCUACACAUCCUCCAAGACUCGGCUCAGACGUCACCACAAUCACCUUCUCUGGGUAGGCUUUUCUGAGAUGGGCAGAGUAGCGCCCCCCCCCCCAACUUUUUAGCUUCCUCAGCACUCUCCAAAUAAUUCUAAAGGACUUAGGGCAUAAUUUGUUUACUUUUCUUCCACUCUUCUAGAGUGUAGAAUCUAGACCCUGAAUUCCUUGAGGGCCGGGAUUUCUGUUCGUCGUUGUA